rnacentral:rRNA from 1 species
GACGAACGCUGGCGGCGUGCUUAACACAUGCAAGUCGAGCGGUAAGGCCCUUUCGGGGUACGACGAGCGGCGAACGGGUAGAGUAACACGUGGGUGACCUGCCCUCCAGCUCUGGGAGUAAGACCCGGGAAACCGUAGGGUCGUAAUACCGGAUAUGACUCCAUGACGCAUGUUGUGGGGUGGAAAGCCUUGUGCGGCUGAGGAUGGGCCCGCGGCCUAUCAGCUUGUUGGUGGGGUGAUGGCCUACCAAGGCGACGACGGGUAGCCGGCCUGAGAGGGCGACCGGCCACACUGGGACUGAGACACGGCCCAGACUCCUACGGGAGGCAGCAGUGGGGAAUCUUGCGCAAUGGGCGAAAGCCUGACGCAGCGACGCCGCGUGA